AAAUAUUCCCAACGAUCCUCUCUUAGGAGUCACAACGUUCGGGUUGACAUUUCUACUAGAGGGGUUUUAGUCGGUAGGCGCUUCGGCGAAUCCGACACUACCCCCCUUCAGGGGGUGUCUUUUGAAGAUUUCUCCUCCUCGGGGAUA
rfam:Agrilus planipennis Contig40563, whole genome shotgun sequence.